UAUAAGGGAGGGCGGGGCAUAAUCUAGGUUUCUGAAGUUUUUGUCCAGGAUGGAAAGCUGGGAUCUGUAGGGUUUCUUUUUCCCCUCUCUUGGUUGCUGUCUUAGGAGUUUUCUGAUGCUUGGAGCUGGUGAUAUUUGAAAGUGCUGUCACCAUCUUAAAAUUUUAGAAGAGGAUGUGGCCAAGACAGUGAAGGCACAAAGAAGAAAUAUGCAGAGAGCCAUGGUCCUUGAGGGUGUUGCCAGGCUGAGAAUCCGUCCUGCUUCUGCCCGUCUCUAAAGACUCCAGUAUCAACCAGAUUCUUACUGGGAAGUACCAGCCAGAUAGUGGAAGCCGAAGUACCAGCAUGUGCCUUUUCUACAUCAGGUAAGUUCUCUCGGCAGCAGUUUUCAGCAGUAUGGCAGCAGUAUGUCUUCAGUUUCCACAAUCACAAAGAAGACAGGGGUUUUGCUGUUUUCUAUUAAUCAAGACUCAUGAAUGCACGAAUACCAUUUCCCCU
ensembl:lncRNA